rnacentral:ncRNA from 1 species
AAAAAGACGAUGAAGAGAAGAGUACCCAGGCAGAUACAGCGCAGAGAGCCUCGUGUGGUGAGAAGAGGUCUGGAAGGGCUUGGAGAACAUGGUCUCGGAGUUGCGUGGCCGACCGCCGUCCCGGCAUAGGUCACGACGUGGGCGCACGUCACAGCGCAGGAGUGUGUUUGCACUCCCCAAGGCCGCUUUCAUGAGGAAGCGUGCGAAUCAAGGUGGUACCACGGCGAAUUCCGUCGUCCUUGAG